CUGGAACUCAUCUCCAACAUCAUCCAGCUGCUGACUGGAGAGGAGUGGGAGUAUAUAAAAGGAAACAAGGACAUUCUCAGGAAAGGGAUAAAGAAGGAGGAGGAGGAGCCCCUACCUCUCCACCCAGUGAACGGUGAAUAUGAAGAUAAGAGAGAGAUUCCAGCUGAUCUGGGAGGAACAUUAUGUUAUAAUAAUGAGCCAAGCAAGAUUGGGGCUGAAGGAGCAGAUUUUUGUGCCGAUGGAAAUCUCCCAAACCCUGAAAUUUCUCCAGUGGAACAGCCCCCACCGGCCAAUGGGAUUAAAGAGGAGGAAUCUUUGUGGGAAGAUGGAAACCAAUCAGAUUGCAGCAU